AGAACGAACGCUGGCGGCGCGUUUAAGCAUGCAAGUCGAGCGGCAAGGGCCUUCGGGCCCUAGAGCGGCGGACGGGUGAGUAACACGUGGACAAUCUGCCCCCCGGCCCGGGAUAGCCCAGGGAAACCUGGAUUAAUACCGGAUGAGACGGGACCCGCGAUGGCGGGAUCCGGGAAAGGCGCUGCGGCGCCGCCGGGGGAUGAGUCUGCGUCCCAUUAGCUAGACGGCGGGGUAACGGCCCACCGUGGCGACGAUGGGUAGCCGGCCUGAGAGGGUGGACGGCCACAUUGGAACUGAGACACGGUCCAGACUCCUACGGGAGGCAGCAGCUAAGAAUCUUCCGCAAUGGGCGAAAGCCUGACGGGAAGCGACGCCGCGUGAACGAAGAAGGCCGUGAGGUUGUAAAGUUCUUUUCGGGAGGGGGAACAACCGUGGCAGGGAAUGGCCGCGGGAUGACGUGAAUCCCGGAAUAAGCCCCGGCUAACUACGUGCCAGCCGCCGC
rnacentral:rRNA from 1 species